rnacentral:rRNA from 1 species
CAGUCGCCGCGGUAAUACGUAGGUGGCAAGCGUUGUCCGGAAUUAUUGGGCGUAAAGGGCUCGCAGGCGGUUUCCUAAGUCUGAUGUGAAAGCCCCCGGCUCAACCGGGGAGGGUCAUUGGAAACUGGGAAACUUGAGUGCAGAAGAGGAGAGUGGAAUUCCACGUGUAGCGGUGAAAUGCGUAGAGAUGUGGAGGAACACCAGUGGCGAAGGCGACUCUCUGGUCUGUAACUGACGCUGAGGAGCGAAAGCGUGGGGAGCGAACAGGAUUAGAGACCCCCGUAGUCCCUGUCUCUUAUAA